rnacentral:rRNA from 1 species
GACAGAGGGUGCAAACGUUGUUCGGAAUUACUGGGCGUAAAGCGCACGUAGGCGGUUCGUUAUGUCGGAUGUGAAAGCCCUUGGCUUAACCGAGGAAGUGCAUCCGAAACUGGCGAGCUAGAGUACGAAAGAGGAUCGCGGAAUUCCCGGUGUAGAGGUGAAAUUCGUAGAUAUCUGGAGGAACACCGGUGGCGAAGGCGGCGUUCUGGACUGCAACUGACACUGAUGAACGAAAGCCAGGGGAGCAAACGGG